CCUCUGCUUUAACAUGGGGUUACCUGCUGUGUUAAACAAAAGCAAGUGCUUCCAUGUUUCAGUGGGGG
rnacentral:pre_miRNA from 7 species